rnacentral:lncRNA from 1 species
AUGUCUUGGGUUCAUGUAGCUGUAGUAAGGAAGUCCACAGUGAUCAGCACCAGGUGGCACUGUGGGACAACUGUUAUUGCAACAUUGCUACUCUGCACUCGUCAUAUGUUGCCAGGACAAGUUUCUUCUUCUUCUUAUUGUUAUUAUGAUUAUUAUUGUUAUUCUUCUUCUUGUAAUUUUCCAACAACUGCAGCCAACAGUUUCUCCAGCAAUGCCAUUGUCCAAUUUCAUCUGUCAUCAGCAUGAUAUUUUGCCCCCUUUGAACUCCCACUCACUGGAUAUUUUUUCCAUUUUGGACCUCCUGUGAACCCAGGAGGCUUUACUGCAUGUGUGCAACUGCAAAACCCACCAUCCAAAAAUGCCUGAAAUUGUAUCCUGUUAUAGGGCGUAGAAUCUAGUAGUGUUGUCAUGCUGGUUGUUAUCGCCGACACAUCCAGGGUCAGUUUUGUUGCUACUGUCUGUAUCUGAUUUACCAAAAGCAUAACUGCUGGCGGGUCACACUGAUGGAAACACGCAUCACGCCAGGGCAAAAGCUCCCUCUUUGUGUUAACAUUCCUCUAAACUGCAUUCUCCCCACACUGGUCGCCUCAGUGUCAGCAGUGGGAAACAACUCUGUAACAAUGACUGUGGAACUCCUGAUGUUCAGUGUCAGUGAAAGAUUUGGAGGUCUUUAACACUUGCUGGGAUUUAAAAUGAAGUGCAAAUGACGAAGAGUCACUUUUAUGUUAAGAUAAUUUGCACAUCCCAUGGAUAUUCUUUAAAUAUACAACGGUAAAGCACAAUCAUUGUUAGGAACAGGCCAGCCAGUUACUGUUUGAACCGAAUCCAGCUCUGUCCCAAGGUUUUUCUCACUCGUGUCUGCUGUUUACCUCAGCUGUCAAUGCCGGGUGAGGAGUGCCCACCUUUAUUUAGUGAAACGAGUCUGAUACGAGUCAGUGAGUCAGAGAAGCUCACGGCAGCGAUAAUGAGGCUGAUUGUUGAGGCUAUGCUGAACUUUCCUGUCAGCAAUCGGUGCUGUUUUUGUUGGUGUUAGCUUCUGUUAGACGACAUAAGGUAGUGAAUACAUUUGCGUACAUGAGAAUGUAAUCAAGCUGAGUGUGAGAAAAGAGAGAGGGACUUUUUAGGACACUUGUAACCUGCUGUUGUUGUUUGGCCAGCUGUUGUCAACUCUGGGGAAUAAAUGAUGCAUGUUUUCAUGUGUUGA